rnacentral:rRNA from 1 species
GAUGAACGCUGGCGGCGUGCUUAACACAUGCAAGUCGAACGACAAGUGAAGACGGAAACCUUCGGGCGGAAGGCUUUAUUUCGAGUGGCGGACGGGUGAGUAACGCGUGGGUAACCUGCCUCAUACAGGGGGAUAACAGUUGGAAACGACUGUUAAUACCGCAUAAGACCACAGCACCGCAUGGUGCGGGGGUAAAAACUCCGGUGGUAUGAGAUGGACCCGCGUUCGAUUAGCCAGUUGGCGGGGUAACGGCCCACCAAAGCGACGAUCGAUAGCCGAUCUGAGAGGAUGACCGGCCACAUUGGGACUGAGACACGGCCCAAACUCCUACGGGAGGCAGCAGUGGGGAAUAUUGCACAAUGGGGGAAACCCUGAUGCAGCGACGCCGCGUGAGUGAAGAAGUAUUUCGGUAUGUAAAGCUCUAUCAGCAGGGAAGAAAAUGACGGUACCUGAGUAAGAAGCCCCGGCUAACUACGUG